CUUCGUUCCGCUGGUGUGGUGUGGAAGUUUGGAGAGGGGGCUGCUAGCUCAGGUGUCGUCUUUGUCAUCUGACCGAGGCUCAAAAUUACAAAGUUCGUCCCAAAAUAGCCCUAGUAUUGCUUUAAAACGGUGUCCUAUGAGCAGAACUAGCUCAAUUGAAGACUGGGAAUUCCAAGUGAAGGAGUGAAUAAGAGAAGCUGAAAUACAUUUCGUAUUUGUGUCAAAGAUAAUGACGUUUCGGAAAUGGGUUGUCUUACUGAUUAAAUGAAGAAUCCAGAUUAUAUUUUGAGGUAUUUUUGG